GAGUUUGAUCCUGGCUCAGAUUGAACGCUGGCGGCAUGCCUUACACAUGCAAGUCGAACGGCAGCGCGGGAGCAAUCCUGGCGGCGAGUGGCGAACGGGUGAGUAAUACAUCGGAACGUGCCCAAUCGUGGGGGAUAACGCAGCGAAAGCUGUGCUAAUACCGCAUACGAUCUACGGAUGAAAGCAGGGGAUCGCAAGACCUUGCGCGAAUGGAGCGGCCGAUGGCAGAUUAGGUAGUUGGUGAGGUAAAGGCUCACCAAGCCUUCGAUCUGUAGCUGGUCUGAGAGGACGACCAGCCACACUGGGACUGAGACACGGCCCAGACUCCUACGGGAGGCAGCAGUGGGGAAUUUUGGACAAUGGGCGAAAGCCUGAUCCAGCCAUGCCGCGUGCAGGAUGAAGGCCUUCGGGUUGUAAACUGCUUUUGUACGGAACGAAACGGUCUUCUCUAAUAAAGAGGGCUAAUGACGGUACCGUAAGAAUAAGCACCGGCUAACUACGUGCCAGCAGCCGCGGUAAUACGUAGGGUGCAAGCGUUAAUCGGAAUUACUGGGCGUAAAGCGUGCGCAGGCGGUUAUGUAAGACAGUUGUGAAAUCCCCGGGCUCAACCUGGGAACUGCAUCUGUGACUGCAUAGCUAGAGUACGGUAGAGGGGGAUGGAAUUCCGCGUGUAGCAGUGAAAUGCGUAGAUAUGCGGAGGAACACCGAUGGCGAAGGCAAUCCCCUGGACCUGUACUGACGCUCAUGCACGAAAGCGUGG
rnacentral:rRNA from 1 species